UUGCCGUCGCUUCUGUUGCAUGUAUUUGGCUCUGUAUCGAAAUCUUUGCGGUUCUGGAACGCUGGAUGUGCAUAUGGGGGAAUGAUGCAGGCUAUCUUCGCAGCAAGCGGUCGGUGUUGCUUUGGCCGAGGCAUUUCCUUUCAUCUGUCAAACUUUCUGGCGGUCCAGAAAGGAAAGUCCUACCUCUGAGUAGCAUUCACUGGUCAUAUAUAUUACGCAUCGCUGUCAUCAGUAGCAAUCUGAUGAGCUUUAGCUUUUCUGAAGGACGCCUUCUGCUUGUUUGUGACUACUAUAUCUUGUAGUGAAAGAUCGUUUUGCUGCUGCUGCUGCUGCUGCUGCUGUACGCGACGUAUUCGUUGAUGCGUACACGUAUGUGCCAUUUUUGCUGGAUGCGCUGUUACACAAACGUCAGUUCUUCAUGGCUGUUAAGCAAAGUUACAUGCUAGCCAAUAGUGUUGUCUGGGUGUAGUCGAUAUUGCUCAGCGUGUAGCUCUCAGUGACGCCAAAUCUGCGCGUGCAAUCAGAACCCCUGUAUUUAUAAAUCGCCUUUGCUAACAGAAAAUGUGGUAAGCAAACAUCAAAAGUAUAUUUGAUUCAUACAAUAAGUGUGGCCAAUCUAUUUAAGUAGGACCGUAUUUGUGGUAGCUGUCGGUGCCAUGAUAUGAAUUAGGCGACACCGUAGCUCGCAUUAUAAUCUGCGCUGAUUUUUCAAUUAGCCUUACGGACAUCAUUAAGAUUGCAAUUAUCUUCUUUUUUUUUUUUACAUUAUCAUCAUUUUCUUUACUGUGAAUAUUAUUAUUAUUAUGAAGUUUGCGCGCCACGUUGUUGGCCUGCGAUUUGCUGGUUCUGCCCUUAUUUCUCCGCCUUGUGUAGUUCCGCAUUGGAAUUGCUUGUAGAAAAUGUACGAGAUCUGCGUGCCGUUACUUUGAUCUGUCUCUUACUUGUUUUGGAGAUAUAUCUUAAUAUUGUUACCUUCAAAUAAUUAAUACUUGCCCAAUUUAUUAAGCUAAGCAGCUUUGAUAGAUAUAUGUAUCGCGUUUCUUUGUAUAUAUACUCACAUAAAACCAAUUUGCUGCAGUGCUCAUGUGCUUGCCAUUUGUACGGAGGGGUGUUGGAGUGUCGACGCAUUUCGGCUGUUGUGGUCUAUGCGAUUGUUCUUGCUUGAAGGUGCCGCAACUUCUGGUACAAGCAUUCCAUGGGCCUGCUGAGGAGCCUUAUGCUCAAAUAUCAUCAUAGCGUAUGUGCUAUGCGUAUAGGCGCAGUUCUUCUGUGGUCAUUGUGGGGACGCUAAUUAGUACGUCUUUAUCAUCAGCCUGCUUGUGUUUGUUCGUAGAUAUGAUGCUGAUCGAUUGUCAGCUUAUAGCGUUGUUCCUUGUUUUUAAACUUUUCUCGGUCCUGAUCUCCGUGUAUAUUCUUGAAAAAUUGACUUCGGAAUAUUAGUGAGCGAUCUUAAAGUUCGAUUUUGAAAUCCAUUGCCCAGUGGAAUGCAUGAUUGUUCUUGUGAACAUCUCAGUUUGGUGUCUAAUGCUCGGUACACAAACGGCUGUGAACGUAAUUUCAUGUUAUAGCGCUGUUUAUUCAACAGCACGUGGUCAAGCAUCUAUCGUUCAUGUUGCUGUUUUUGGUGAUAAUUCAUAAGCCGUAUAAAGUGGUGUACCUUAGCAUGUAGUACUAUUAGUAGUUACUGUUGUAGUUAGUAAUGUCGACUUAUUUCGUAUUGUACUUCUUUCCAGGAACUGGUGCCGGAUAGAGCCGUCGAAAUUAGGCUGGUGAUUGGCCAGUUAGAAUUCGUAGGCAAACCUCUGCCCAAAUUGGCAAACUCGCAUUAGUGGAUAUGGGCCGCCCACGUUGUCGUACACCGACCAUGUGUACUAGAAUUUGGCGCUUUUCUAUGGCCAUUGAGUUUGCUCUGGGACAAGUUGGACAUCAGCUGCUGUUGCAUCCUGCCCAUAGGCAUUACAGACUCGUUGUUGUUCAGUAGUUGCGGCUGUGACGCUGAGGAGAUCGAAUCUAUACCCGCCGACGUGUCUUCUUGUAAGUACAGAAGAAUAUGAUAAUCUUCCGUUGAUUGAAACGAUGCGCCUGUUGACUGACAACGAGCACCUAUAUGUCGAGAAGAUAUCGUAUUCAAGCAGCGAUGAUCACAGAGAAAACAGGGUGCUCGGUAAAUCCCGCUAGGUAAUCUAUAGUGUAACUCAUAAGUUAACAGAUAUAGUUAUGCUUUUAUCCUUAUAAGCAGAAUUAAACAAAACUGAUUUAGAUAAAGGCUAAAAAAAAAACAUAUAUAUAUUUAGUAGCUGAUUAGUAGGAUUAGACGGUCAAACAUAAAGAGUUAACGGACUCUAAUGCGAUACAUUUUAGAAAUAUUUUACAUAGGUUAUUUUAUUGGCAAUCGUUUAUACUUAGACCUAUAUAAUAUUAAUAGAACGAAAGUCAAUAAAGGAAUUUGGAUCCGCUAAAUGCAAUGAUCUGCGAAAUAAAGUGCGCUUUGUUUGGAUCGAGCUAAAAACGCAAGAAUACGACUUUUAUGUGACAAAACAAGACGCUAACAUAGUUGUGAUUAUUAAAAAAAUUCAACCAGUCACAAUAAUAGACUAACGUUAAACGUAUGUUUUGUUCAGUCGAUAAUUAAUCUUACAUGAAUGAGUUCGUUUUUCGUGUAUAUUAAUAAUUAGAAAUUUAUAUAAUCCCAUUCUUUUUGUAACUAUAUCUGUGUAAGGGGACGAAAGCCGUACUUGUGAGCUAUUGUACGAAUGGAUCACUUGCAAAGAAAACACGUUCGCUGGGAAGUGCUUAGGGCACUUAUCUUUUAACUGAAGUGCUUCCGAGGAUUUGGUAAAGCCGUAACAAAUCGGUGCCUAGUAAAAACCACUUGGGAGCUCUUUUUCAGUUUACAAUUAGCGCGUAGUACUGUAUUGCUAUCUUUAGAUACGCGUUUUUCUAUGCGUAUCGACGUAGUUGCGGAAACCUAUGUUUAUGCAUACAUGCUAUGACGCCAUUACUACUCGAUCAAUGCUGAAGAGUUCUAUUAAAGCGACGAUAUAAUAUAUAGAGUGAUCCACUCAAAAUUAUCACAUUUCAACCUAACAAAAAUAACAUUGUUGCCACCGUGCCAUAAAACAAUAAUGUUUGCCAUUACGUUCUAAAUUUGGUGUUACCUAGAUGAGCGCCACAAGACAUCUUCUCGUGAUAAAAACGAAAUACCGCAUCGUCGACUACGCAUUUUUCGUGUAUUUUCGACAUAAUUGCCGAAAUGUGAAAUUCGAUGGUCUUCUCUAAAUCGUCAACAGAGAAACAGACAUCUUGCUUUCCAGAAAAUGGCAACGCCUAGUAGAGCAACGCUACAUCAAUAGAGUGGAUGCCUAUAAGGUGGAUCCCUCCCUAGACAUGGAGCAUUGACCAAACUUAUCUAUCGGUAACUGCGUGAUGGUGACAGCUAACAGGUACUUAUGUAGCACAAGCCACGCGCGUGCUAUGAACUUUGUCACCAAAGAGCAUAAAGCACGUCUACCAUGCAGUAAAUGAUACUAGAUAACUGUCUACAAGUUCAUAGAAGAAAGAUAGUCUUUGCCGGCAGUAGAGAACAGUUUCUUCACAUAAACAACUUGGCUGUAGCUCAAAUCCGCACUUGAAAAUGGAUCACCCUAUAGAUUACCGUCUGGAACUGUUUGCAGCUGCUCCAGUAAAUUCAAUUGACUUAAAAUAGUACCAUAAUAAUGAGUUUACGUACAUUUAAUAUUGGUAUAUGGACACAAUUCUGAGUCCAGCAUUUAAUCUUUGUUCAAAUAGUAUCCACAACCCUCUAAUAGGAAGCUAGAUGUAUGCCUCUUAAUAAUAACGUAGCAUAGCUAAGCCUGUGAGCAAGAAGCCAGUUAGCAAAGGGUUAAGCUGAACAAAUUACUAAUUUUAUCGGUCAGUUUGUCACAGGGUACCAACAUCCAAAUCAUCAUAUUUGAACAAGUUAGUACGCUGUAAAACGGCCGACUUAUUCGAUUGUGGACACAUGAAGGAAUAAGAUGUGGACUUCAGCAAUAUAUAAAGGAGACAUAGUAUAGAAUAGAAUAAAAAUGAUAUACAAGAAAGUAGAUAAAAUGGUGGAGAAUAAGAGAUAUAGCGAGA